AUGUUCUCCCAGACUCAGCUGCUCUGGCUACUGGCGCUGUGGAUUCCGGACUCCUAUGGGCAGGUCACAAUGACUCAGUCUCCAGAAUCCCUCUCAGUGUCUCUGGGACAAAAAGUCACCAUCAGAUGUACAGCCAGUUCUAGCCGUGAUAGCCACUAUGUCUCCUGGUACCAACAGAAACCCGGACAAGCUCCUAAGCUCCUUAUCUAUUGGGGCUCUACACUUGAAUCUGGGGUCCCAGCCCGGUUCAGUAGCAGUGAGUCUGGCACCGAGUACACUCUCACAAUCAGCAGCGUUGAAGCCGAUGAUGCAGCGGAUUAUUAUUGUCUGCAGACUGAGAGUUCACCUCUCACAGUAUAUUCGUAA